CCAGACCCCUGCAGAGUCUAAAUCACACGAAAAGCAGAGAGAGAUCCUUAAAAAACCUCUAGAGAACUAACUUACCCAGACCCUCAAGAAGAUCUUGACAACUCCAAGGUGGGGCUAACUUACCAGACCCCUGCAGAGCCCUGGUCGCAAGAGAAGCGGAGGGAGAUCCUUAGGAAACCUCCGAAGGGCUAACUAAUCAAACACUCCAAAC
rnacentral:lncRNA from 1 species